rnacentral:rRNA from 1 species
UACAGAGGUCCCAAGCGUUGUUCGGAUUCAUUGGGCGUAAAGGGUGCGUAGGUGGCGCCGUAAGUGGGGUGUGAAAUUUCGGAGCUUAACUCCGAAACUGCAUUCCAUACUGCGGUGCUUGAGGACUGGAGAGGAGACUGGAAUUUACGGUGUAGCAGUGAAAUGCGUAGAUAUCGCUUGGAACGCCGAAGGUGAAAACAGGCUGCUGGGGUUGUGCCGACGCUGAGACACGAAAGCCAGGGGAGCAAACGGGG